GACGAACGCUGGCGGCGUGCUUAACACAUGCAAGUCGAACGCUGAAGCACUAGCUUGCUGGUGUGGAUGAGUGGCGAACGGGUGAGUAAUACGUGAGUAACCUGCCCUUGACUCUGGGAUAAGCUCGGGAAACUGGGUCUAAUACUGGAUGCUACAUGUCACCGCAUGGUGGUGUGUGGAAAGGGUUUACUGGUCUUGGAUGAGCUGACGGGGUAUCAGCUUGUUGGUGAGUUAAUGGCUCCCCAAGGCGACGACGGGUAGCCGGCCUGUGAGGGUGACAGGCGACACAGGGGCUGAGAGACGGCCCAGAGUCCUACGGGGGGCAGCAGUGGGGAAUAUUGCACAAUGGGCGAAGGCCUGAUGCAGAGAGGCCGCGUGAGGGAUGACGGCCUUCGGGUUGUAAAACUCUUUCAGGAGGGAAGAAGCCAGAAGUGACGGUACCUGCAGAAGAAGCGCCGGCUAACUACGUG
rnacentral:rRNA from 1 species